rnacentral:rRNA from 1 species
CCGCCGCCAGGAACCCACGAAACCCCUUGCAUUAUACACGAAAACUUCUGAUAACAAACCUAAAUUAUCACAACUUUCAACAAUGGAUCUCUUGGUUCUGGCAUCGAUGAAGAACGCAGCGAAAUGCGAUAAGUAGUGUGAAUUGCAGAAUUCAGUGAAUCAUCGAAUCUUUGAACGCACAUUGCGGCCAUAGGUAUUCCUUUGGCCAUGCCUGUUCGAGCGUCAUUUACACCCUCAAGCCUAGCUUGGUGUUGGGCGUCUGUCCCGCCGUUUUCGCGCGCGGACUCGCCUCAAAGUCAUUGGCGGCCAUCGUGCCGGCUCCUCGCGCAGCACAUUUGCGCUUCUCGGAGGCCCGGCGGAUCCGCGCUNC